rnacentral:rRNA from 1 species
GACGAACGCUGGCGGCAUGCCUAAUACAUGCAAGUCGAGCGAACAGAUGAAGUGCUUGCACUUCUGACGUUAGCGGCGAACGGGUGAGUAACACGUAAGGAAUCUACCUAUAAGCGGGGGAUAACAUUCGGAAACGGGUGCUAAUACCGCAUAGAAUCUUCUUCCGCAUGGAAGAAGAUUGAAAGACGGCUCUGCUGUCACUUAUAGAUGACCUUGCGGUGCAUUAGUUAGUUGGUGGGGUAAUGGCCUACCAAGACAAUGAUGCAUAGCCGACCUGAGAGGGUGAUCGGCCACAUUGGGACUGAGACACGGCCCAAACUCCUACGGGAGGCAGCAGUAGGGAAUCUUCCGCAAUGGGCGAAAGCCUGACGGAGCAAUGCCGCGUGAGUGAAGAAGGCCUUCGGGUCGUAAAACUCUGUUAUAAGAGAAGAACAAAUUGUAGAGUAACUGCUACAGUCUUGACGGUAUCUUAUCAGAAAGCCACGGCUAACUACGUGCCAGCCGCCGCAGUAA